UAUUAGCUAGUAGGUGUGGUAACGGCACACCUAGGCUACGAUAGAUAGGGGCCCUGAGAGGGGGAUCCCCCACACUGGUACUGAGACACGGACCAGACUCCUACGGGAGGCAGCAGUAAGGAAUAUUGGACAAUGGGCGAAAGCCUGAUCCAGCCAUGCCGCGUGCAGGAUGACUGCCCUAUGGGUUGUAAACUGCUUUUAUAUAGGAAGAAAAAUUUUCUCGUGAGAAAACUUGACGGUACUAUAAGAAUAAGGAUCGGCUAA
rnacentral:rRNA from 1 species